GACGUGAAGGAGAUCCGGGUGGUGGCUGCGAGCAAGACGAAGCCUGUUUCUGACCUUCAACAGGUGUACGAUGCUGGACAUCGAUGCUUCGGCGAGAACUACGUUCAGGAACUCAUUGAGAAAGCUCCCCAGUUAUCAAGGUGAAGUAGCAGCAUAUCAUAGCAUCAUGGAACAGUUACUACAUAUUAGGGAGAAUUGUUGCUGGAAGUUAUUAUUUUGUAAUCAUGCCAAAUAAAUGGCUGUAGAUUGUGUAGUUAUUUUCCAGUUCAUUUGUAACCGUAGGAUUAAAAUGGUAGUUCCAUUUUAAGCUCUAUAAAUACUAGUUUGUAACUAGGAUAAGGGGUUGGUUUCCUAAAUGACUGCAAAGCUCUAAAAAAGCCUUCAAGCCCACGGACGAGUGUGCAGUAGACGGAUUCCUUCCACCAUUUACCAUUCCAGUAAUGAAUUUGCUUUGUUCUUA